GUAAAGGGAAGAAAAAGAGGGAGGAGUGAAAGUAAAGGGAUGGAAAAGAGGGGGAGUGAAAGUAAAGGGAUGGAAAAGAGGGAGGAGCGAAAGUAAAGGGGAAGAAAAGAGGGAGGAGUGAAAGUAAAGGGAUGGAAAAGAGGGAGGAGUGAAAGUAAAGGGAUGGAAAAGAGGGAGGAGUGAAAAAUUGAUGUAUAGAGGUAUUGGGAAGGAUUGUUGGGCAUCAUUUCCAAGUUCCUUGAGUUCUACAGUUCUACGUACUCACUCUGGUGUUCAUUGUACUGAUCUGAAAAGGAACACAACUAGAAACACAAGUUGAAACACAACUAGAAGGCUACUAUAGUUCAA
ensembl:lncRNA